GACGAACGCUGGCGGCGUGCCUAAUACAUGCAAGUAGAACGCUGAAGAGAGGAGCUUGCUCUUCUUGGAUGAGUUGCGAACGGGUGAGUAACGCGUAGGUAACCUGCCUGGUAGCGGGGGAUAACUAUUGGAAACGAUAGCUAAUACCGCAUAAAAUGGAUUAUCGCAUGAUAAUCCAUUGAAAGGUGCAAAUGCAUCACUACCAGAUGGACCUGCGUUGUAUUAGCUAGUUGGUGGGGUAACGGCUCACCAAGGCGACGAUACAUAGCCGACCUGAGAGUGUGAUCGGCCACACUGGGACUGAGACACGGCCCAGACUCCUACGGGAGGCAGCAGUAGGGAAUCUUCGGCAAUGGACGGAAGUCUGACCGAGCAACGCCGCGUGAGUGAAGAAGGUUUUCGGAUCGUAAAGCUCUGUUGUAAGAGAAGAACGAGUGUGAGAGUGGAAAGUUCACACUGUGACGGUAUCUUACCAGAAAGGGACGGCUAACUACGUG
rnacentral:rRNA from 1 species